CCGGCCUGGGAACACUUCUUGUGCUGCAACCACCGUGAGGUAGGGCUGGCACCUCAGAGCUGCUUUGCUGUUUGUUGUGCCAGUUUUAGGAUUCGUUAUCCCAAAUUCCAGGUGAUGAUGUCUGCAGGCCUCGACGUUUAAGGGCCUGGCAGCCUCACAGUGCUGCCUGGGGUGGAAGAUGCCAGGUGGAGAAAGGCGAGGAGGAGAUGACAGGAGGACAACUGGUUGGUCACAGCCUUCCUGAACAUGGGACUGACAGCAGAGAUGCUACCCAGGUGUUCAGGCCUGCAGAGGACAGCAGGGUUCCCGUGGGAAGGGAUCGUCUCUUGAACGUUUGCUCUGCAUUCUUCCUUGGCAUCAGUCCUGGCCAUGAGUUUGUGUGAGAAACGGCCAUAAGUGCGUUCACCCUUCUGGCUGGCUCCGUGGCAAUGCAGUCACCAGCUCCCCGCCGACCUCGCAGCCAUGCAGCCUCGCAGAUAAGGAAACCCGUGCUGCUGCAGAGCUGGUUGUACUAGGGAAGCUGUAGCCUUUCCCUCUGCCUGCUCCCACAGUGAGUACCGCGUGCUUUUCCCUUGGCUGCGCCCUCACCAUCGCAACCAGAACCUCAGAGCCCUCAGUGCCACAUAGCUGUGUCGGAGGGGUGCUGUCUCAUGGAAAACAUUUAGGAUCAGAGCUUUCAAAUUAAAGAUAGAAAAAGGUGCAUCAGGUGCCAACGAGGAAAACAAAAGCCUCUUCUUCAUGAGCCCACGUCUGCAGUUAUUUCCAGUGCCUGUGUCCUCGUGUGCAUCCUGCAGCCCUUGGGGCUCCGACAGCAGGCACUGAGAAAAACCAAGCUUGGGAAAAAUCUAAAUACUUCCCAAGGAAGAACUUCAGGAAAUGCCCAUCAAACAGCUGAGCAGGGGAUUCCUGAGCAGGUUUCCUGUGCUUCUUUGAAAUGCUGAUAAAAAGCUUCGUGAGAUACCUGCACAGAGGAAUUUCCCAAACAGGGCACUGAAAGCUUCACACCACAAUGUAUGCGUGAUACUGGAGCUCCCACACGUGCUGGGUGUUUGGAUAGCGUUCUUAGACCUGCUGAAACCUGCGUAAUGUAGUAAUUAUGGGCUGCUAGCUGUUGAAAGGACUCGUGAAGCUACUCCAAGGGGCAGCUGUCACCUGGGUCCUUCGGAUCCCAGCUCAUGUUUGCCUCUGCACGUCCUCAGCAUGCAAACAGGGCUGAGGGAAAGCACCCUGCCUCCUCCUGUCCCUGGGUGCAGGAAUGGCAAUGGCCGGCAGCACUGACAUCUGCCUCCUGGUGUGACCCCAAGGAUGUGACUUUGGGACAGAACCAACAUGCAGCCAGGCACCCCUGAAAUGAAGCAGGGUUAUGGGAUCCAGCUCUGGCAUUAGUGUGCAGUCCUGAACAUCUGCACCAACAUUUGUGUGCCCAGCCAUCAUUGCAGCACCUGUACCCAUCUGAGCUGGCGCUGGCUGCAGCAUGAAGCCAGGUGAAGGGGUGGGUUCUUUGGGACUGGCAAAAUAUCCCAUGUGCCUUUCAGUGUUUUCCUCUUUUUUUUUUUUUUUAAUUAUGCUUGGAGCCUCUUCUGAACAGUAAAACCUAAAAAAUAUUUGGGAAAAUAUUAAUGUGUCACUUUUGGAUCUGACAGUGUUUGUUUGUUUGCUUGUUUUUGAGGGUAGCAAUUUACAAAGUCCUGCUUUUGGGUCCUUCCUUCCCCACAUCUCUGCUGGGAACUGCCGGUGCCCCCAUCCCACCACGGGAGCCCUGGGCUGGGAACACAGCAGUGCCUGCUGCUGGGGAGGUAACACUGCGAACCAGCCUGCGCAUCUUGCAGCCUCUACAAUAUUGCCAAACCUUGUAACACAGAACCAGAUCCCUUUCCAAACCAGCCCCUUGCAGCCCUUCCUUCCUCUCCAAACUGCACCAAUCUCCAGCCAGAGCGAGCCUUGGGUCUGCCCUGCUUCACCCACCUCGUCGCUUCUGUCCCUGCCUCGCAUCUCCCCGCAGCGGUGUUCCGACGCCUCGCCUCUCUCCCGCUGGCUGAGAGCAGCGUGGAUUUCCUUCCAGCGUGACGGUUGGGGUCACUCUUUCACAACG
rnacentral:lncRNA from 1 species